GCGCGAGUAGCUCAAUUGGAUAGAGUGACGGCCUCCGAAGCCGCAGGUUGUGGGUUCGAUUCCCGCCUCGCGCACCA
rnacentral:tRNA from 1 species